rnacentral:rRNA from 1 species
GUGUACCAGUUGUCGUGCCAACGGCAUAGCUGGGUAGCUAUGUGUGGACGGGAUAAGUGCUGAAAGCAUCUAAGCAUGAAGCCCCCCUCAAGAUGAGAUUUCCCAACUUCGGUUAUAAGAUCCCUCAAAGAUGAUGAGGUUAAUAGGUUCGAGGUGGAAGCAUGGUGACAUGUGGAGCUGACGAAUACUAAUCGAUCGAAGACUUAAUCAAAA